rnacentral:lncRNA from 1 species
UCCAUUGCUUGAUGCUACAGCUGCCAAAGGAUGAGCAUGGAACCAGCUCUAAGCCUGUAUCUCCCUGCAUUUCCCUCACUACACGAUACACAUCAGCUCAUUCAUCAGCCCCUGGAAUUAGGGAAGAAGCUUUUCAGAUGAGAGGGCGUGGCAAGCUGCUAGUCAACCAUGUUUCUGAGUAAAGGUAUGUUGUUCUACAGCAUACAGCACACCAUGAAUGCUUACUUGGUCCAUUUGUUCCUUCGUAGGAUUUCUAUUCUACUAUUCUUUCAGUCCCCACAGUGGCUUUCAAAUACAGUACAGGACAAUAAAAUGCUAGUAAUAAAGCAGAUAAAAAUGAUGAGAGCAGCAAAAGCAGUCAGUAACAGCUAAAAGCAGCACAAAUAAACACAUAAAGCAGUAUAGAUAGACAGCAGCAAGAAGCAAAUCAAUAUUGUGAUUAAGGACUGAUGUAGAAAUUGAGGUUUGGCUUUUGCUGUCCAACUCCCCAUGGGACUCUGAGUCCCCUAAAUCCAUGACCAGUUGACUUUAAGAAAGCCGACUUCAUAAAACUUAGGGAAGUGCUGGGUGAGAUCCCAUGGACAGUAAUACUAAAAGGAAAGGGAGUUCAUGAUGGCUGGGAGUUUGUUAAGAGGGAGAUAGUAAAAGCACAACGUCAGGCAAUACCAAUGAGACGGAAACAUGGAAGGUGCCUAAAGAAGCCAGGGUGGCUAUCUAAAGAACUUUUAAUUGAGUUAAGAUUAAAAAAAGGAUGUGUACAAAAAAUGGAAAAGGGGGGAACCACCAAAGAGGAAUUCAAACAAAUAGCCAGCACGUGUAGACACAAAGUCAGAAAAGCUAAAGCACAGAAUGAACUCAGGCUUGCUAGAGAGGUUAAAAGCAACAAAAAGGCUUUUAUGGGUAUGUUCGUAGCAAAAGGAAGAACAAAGAAACAGUGGGGUCACUCAGAGGAGAAGAUGGUGAAAUGCAAACAGGGGACACAGAAAGGGCUGAACUCCUCAAUGCCUUCUUUGCCUCAGUCUUCUCUGAUAAAGAAAACAAUGCCCGACCUGAAGAAUUUGGAGCAAAUGAUUCAGCAGAGGAAACACAGCCCAGAAUAACUAAGGAGAUAGUACAAGAAUACUUGGCUAGUUUAGAUGUAUUCAAGUCUCCAGGGCCAGAUGAACUGCAUCCAAGAGUAUUAAAAGAACUGGCAGAUGUGAUCUCAGAACCACUGGCAGUCAUCUUUGAGAAUUCCUGGAGAACAGGCGAAGUCCCGGCAGACUGGAGGAGGGCAAAUGUUGUCCCUAUUUUCAAAAAGGGGAAAAGAGAGGACCCAAAUAAUUACCGCCAAGUCAGUCUGACAUCAAUACCAGGGAAGAUUCUGAAGCAGAUCAUUAAGCAAACAGUCUGUGAGCACCUAGAAAGGAAUGCUGUGAUCACCAAUAGUCAGCAUGGAUUUCUGAAAAAUAAGUCAUGUCAGACUAACCUGAUCUCGUUUUUGACAGAAUUACAAGCCUGGUAGAUGAAGGGAACACAGUGGAUGUAGCCUACCUUGAUUUCAGCAAGGCAUUUGACAAGGUGCCCCAUGAUAUUCUUGUAAAGAAGCUGGUAAAAUGCGG